GAGUUGAUCCUGGCUCAGGACGAACGUGGCGGUGUGUCUAAGGCAUGCAAGUCGAACGAGAUCGCUUUCUUCGGAAAGCAUUAUAUCUAGUGGCAGACGGCUGAGUAACGCGUAAGUAACUUACCCUAGAGUGGGGAAUAACACAGAGAAAUCUGUGCUAUACCGCAUACGAUUUAUUGAUAAUUUCUAUAAAUGAAAGAUUUAUCGCUCUUGGAUGGGCUUGCGUCCUAUCAGGUAGUAGGCGGGGUAAUGGCCCACCAAGCCUAAGACGGGUAGCUGGUGUGAGAGCACGACCAGCCAGAGGGGGACUGAGACACGGCCCCCACUCCUACGGGAGGCAGCAGCUAAGAAUAUUGCACAAUGGACGAAAGUCUGAUGCAGCGACACCGCGUGAGGGAUGAAGGUUUUAGGAUUGUAAACCUCUUUUAUUAGGGAAUAGCAAGGAAGGUACCUAAUGAAUAAGCUACGGCUAACUACGUGCCAGCAGCCGCGGUAAUACGUAGGUAGCGAACGUUGUCCGGAAUCACUGGGCGUAAAGGGUCCGUAGGCGGUUUGAUAAGUCUCAUAUGAAAACUUCAAGCUCAACUUGGAGAGGUUGUGAGAUACUGUCAAACUAGAGACUGUUAAAGGUAAGUGGAAUUCCAGGUGUAGUGGUGACAUGCGUAGAUAUCGGAGGAACACAGUGGCGAA
rnacentral:rRNA from 1 species